AUUCAGAUGCAUCGAACUCACAGAACAUCGCUCCCCAGCUGCUGGCUCGCGGUUCUGAGAGUGCCUGAAUAGAAAACCACUCAUUUCCCUUCGCAAAAGAGGCGCCCAAAGCAGAUAUUUCAAUAUAUUCCAAUUUAGCCGAGGGAAGCCAGAACAUGGAUGUUGUUGCCAAGGAAACCACCUCCUUCCUCCUGUGUGCUGUGCAUACGUGUAUCACUUCAUCUCUCUGCUCUCCAAGCUUGAAUCUAGAUCUGACGUGGAUAUCCUGCCACAGUUCCGAAGUCUACCUAGUGCCCCAGCCGAACCUGCCCUGGCUCCUAGGUGGGGUAUGGACAUCUGUGACAUCCCUCCCCAACACCCCACCAAGCUGGGCUGCAAGACGGGUUAUGGUGGCCCCAUGACUUCCUUCCUUGAUGGAGUCUCUUUCUGUCGCCCAGGCUCAAGUGCAGUGGCGCGAUCUCGGCUCACUGCAAGCUCCGCCUCCCGGAUUCACGCCAUUCUCCUGCUUCAGCCUCCCAAGUAGCUGGGACUACAGGCGCCUGCCACAACGCCCGGCUAAUUUUUUGUAUUUUUAGUAGAGAUGGGGUUUCACCGUGUUAGCCAGGAUUGUCUCGAUCUCCUUACCUUGUGAUCUGCCUGCCUCAGCCUCCCAAAGUGCUGGGAUUACAGGUGUGAGCCACCGCACCUGGCCAAUUUUAACUUUUAAAACGAAACUUCUGCGUAGCAAAACCCCAACAUACACAAAGCU
rnacentral:lncRNA from 1 species